UGGGGAAUAUUGGACAAUGGGGGCAACCCUGAUCCAGCAAUGCCGCGUGUGUGAAGAAGGUCUUCGGAUUGUAAAGCACUUUCGACGGGGACGAUGAUGACGGUACCCGUAGAAGAAGCCCCGGCUAACUUCGUGCCAGCAGCCGCGGUAAUACGAAGGGGGCUAGCGUUGCUCGGAAUGACUGGGCGUAAAGGGCGUGUAGGCGGUUUACACAGUCAGAUGUGAAAUCCCCGGGCUUAACCUGGGAGCUGCAUUUGAUACGUGUAGACUAGAGUGUGAGAGAGGGUUGUGGAAUUCCCAGUGUAGAGGUGAAAUUCGUAGAUAUUGGGAAGAACACCGGUGGCGAAGGCGGCAACCUGGCUCAUGACUGACGCUGAGGCGCGAAAGCGUGGGGAGCAAACAGGAUUAGAUACCCUGGUAGUCCACGCUGUAAACGAUGUGUGCUAGAUGUUGGGUAACUUUGUUAUUCAGUGUCGCAGUUAACGCGUUAAGCACACCGCCUGGGGAGUACGGCCGCAAGGUUGAAACUCU
rnacentral:rRNA from 1 species